UACGUAGGUGGCAAGCGUUGUCCGGAUUUACUGGGCGUAAAGAGCGCGCAGGCGGUCGUGCAAGUCGCGUGUGAAAGCCCCCGGCUCAACUGGGGAGGGUCACGCGAUACUGCUCGACUCGAAGGCAGGAGAGGGAAGCGGAAUUCCCGGUGUAGUGGUGAAAUGCGUAGAUAUCGGGAGGAACACCUAUGGCGAAGGCAGCUCGCUGGGACGUUACUGACGCUGAGGAGCGAAAGCGUGGGGAGCGAACAGA
rnacentral:rRNA from 1 species